rnacentral:rRNA from 1 species
UGAGGAAUAUUGGUCAAUGGACGGAAGUCUGAACCAGCCAUGCCGCGUGCAGGAAGACGGCUCUAUGAGUUGUAAACUGCUUUUGUACGAGGGUAAACGCAGAUACGUGUAUCUGCCUGAAAGUAUCGUACGAAUAAGGAUCGGCUAACUCCGUGCCAGCAGCCGCGGUAAUACGGAGGAUCCAAGCGUUAUCCGGAUUUAUUGGGUUUAAAGGGUGCGUAGGCGGUUUAGUAAGUCAGCGGUGAAAUUUUGGUGCUUAACACCAAACGUGCCGUUGAUACUGCUGGGCUAGAGAGUAGUUGCGGUAGGCGGAAUGUAUGGUGUAGCGGUGAAAUGCUUAGAGAUCAUACAGAACACCGAUUGCGAAGGCAGCUUACCAAACUAUAUCUGACGUUGAGGCACGAAAGCGUGGGGAGCAAACAGGAUUAGAUACCCUGGUAGUCCACGCAGUAAACGAUGAUAGCUCGUUGUCGGCGAUACACAGUCGGUGACUAAGAGAAAUCGAUAAGCUAUCCACCUGGGGAGUACGUUCGCAAGAAUGAAACUCAAAGGAAUUGACGGGGGCCCGCACAAGCGGAGGAACAUGUGGUUUAAUUCGAUGAUACGCGAGGAACCUUACCCGGGCUUGAAAGUUACUGACGAUUCUGGAAACAGGAUUUCCCUUCGGGGCAGGAAACUAGGUGCUGCAUGGUUGUCGUCAGCUCGUGCCGUGAGGUGUCGGGUUAAGUCCCAUAACGAGCGCAACCCCUACUGAUAGUUGCCAUCAGAGCGUUUGAGCGAUCAAACAAGCUGGGCACUCUAUCGGGACUGCCGGUGUAAGCCGAGAGGAAGGUGGGGAUGACGUCAAAUCAGCACGGCCCUUACGUCCGGGGCGACACACGUGUUACAAUGGUAGGUACAGAGGGCAGCCACCCAGUGAUGGGGAGCGAAUCUCGAAAGCCUAUCUCAGUUCGGAUUGGAGGCUGAAACUCGCCUCCAUGAAGUUGGAUUCGCUAGUAAUCGCGCAUCAGCCAUGGCGCGGUGAAUACGUUCCC